rnacentral:rRNA from 1 species
AGUGAACGCUGGCGGUAGGCCUAACACAUGCAAGUCGAACGGCAGCACAGUAAGAGCUUGCUCUUACGGGUGGCGAGUGGCGGACGGGUGAGGAAUACAUCGGAAUCUACUUUUUCGUGGGGGAUAACGUAGGGAAACUUACGCUAAUACCGCAUACGACCUACGGGUGAAAGCAGGGGAUCUUCGGACCUUGCGCGAUUGAAUGAGCCGAUGUCGGAUUAGCUAGUUGGCGGGGUAAAGGCCCACCAAGGCGACGAACCGUAGCUGGUCUGAGAGGAUGAGCAGCCACACUGGAACUGAGACACGGUCCAGACUCCGACGGGAGGCAGCAGUGGGGAAUAUUGGACAAGGGGCGCAAGCCUGAUCCAGCCAUACCGCGUGGGUGAAGAAGGCCUUCGGGUUGUAAAGCCCUUUUGUUGGGAAAGAAAAGCAGCAGGUUAAUACCCCGCUGUUCUGACGGUACCCAAAGAAUAAGCACCGGCUAACUUCGUG